rnacentral:rRNA from 1 species
UACGGAGGGGGCUAGCGUUGUUCGGAAUUACUGGGCGUAAAGCGCACGUAGGCGGCUGUUCAAGUCAGAGGUGAAAGCCUGGAGCUCAACUCCAGAACUGCCUUUGAAACUAGACAGCUAGAAUCAUGGAGAGGUGAGUGGAAUUCCGAGUGUAGAGAUGAAAUUCGUAGAUAUUCGGAAGAACACCAGUGGCGAAGGCGGCUCACUGGACAUGUAUUGACGCUGAGGUGCGAAAGCGUGGGGAGCAAACAGG